AGCAGCCGCGGUAAUUCCAGCUCCAAUAGCGUAUAUUAAAGUUGUUGCAGUUAAAAAGCUCGUAGUUGAAUUUCGGGGUUAGUAGGUUGGUCAUGCCUCUGGUAUGUACUGGUCUCACUGAUUCCUCCUUCCUGAUGAGCCGUAAUGCCAUUAAUUUGGUGUUGCGGGGAAUUUGGACUGUUACUUUGAAAAAAUUAGAGUGUUUAAAGCAAGCUAACGCUUGAAUACAUUAGCAUGGAAUAAUGAAAUAGGACGUUCGAUCCUAUUUUGUUGGUUUCUAGGAUUGACGUAAUGAUUAAUAGGGAUAGUUGGGGGCAUUAGUAUUCAAUUGUCAGAGGUGAAAUUCUUGGAUUUAUUGAAGACUGACUACUGCGAAAGCAUUUGCCAAGGAUGUUUUCAUUAAUCAAGAACGAAAGUUAGGGGAUCGAAGACGAUCAGAUACCGUCGUAGUCUUAACCAUAAACUAUGCCGACUAGGGAUCGGAUGAUGUUAAUUUUUUAAUGACUCAUUCGGCGCCUUACG
rnacentral:rRNA from 1 species